AUUGAAUGCUGGCGGCAGGCUUAACACAUGCAAGUCGAGCGGAGAGAGGUAGCUUGCUACUGAUCUUAGCGGCGGACGGGUGGGUAAUGCUUAGGAAUCUGCCUAUUAGUGGGGGACAACAUUUCGAAAGGAAUGCUAAUACCGCAUACGUCCUACGGGAGAAAGCAGGGGAUCUUCGGACCUUGCGCUAAUAGAUGAGCCUAAGUCGGAUUAGUUAGUUGGAGGGGUAAAGGCCUACCAAGGCGACGAUCUGUAGCGGGUCUGAGAGGAUGAUCCGCCACACUGGGACUGAGACACGGCCCAGACUCCUACGGGAGGCAGCAGUGGGGAAUAUUGGACAAUGGGCGCAAGCCUGAUCCAGCCAUGCCGCGUGUGUGAAGAAGGCCUUAUGGUUGUAAAGCACUUUAAGCGAGGAGGAGGCUACUUUAGAUAAUACCUAGAGAUAGUGGACGUUACUCGCAGAAUAAGCACCGGCUAACUCUGUGCCAGCAGCCGCCGUAAGAC
rnacentral:rRNA from 1 species